GGGAAUAGCCCCUGGAAACUGUGAUUAAUACCCUAUGUGCCCUUCGGGGGAAAGAUUUAUCGCCUUUGGAUCGGCCCGCGUUAGAUUAAAUAGUUGGUGGGGUAACGGCCUACCAAGUCUACAAUCUAUAGCUGGUUUUAGAGGAUGAUCAGCAACACUGGGACUGAAACACGGCCCAAACUCCUACGGGAGGCAGCAGUGGGGAAUCUUGGACAAUGGGGGCAACCCUGAUCCACCCAUGCCGCGUGAGUGAUGAAGGCCCUAGGGUCGUAAAGCUCUUUCCCCUGUAAAAAUAAUGACUGUCCCAGGUAAAAAAACCCCGGCUAACUCCGUGCCACCACCCGCGGUAAUACGGAGGGGGUUAGCGUUGUUCGAAAUUACUGGGCGUAAAGCGCGCGUAGGCGGACUGGAAAUUUGGGGGUGAAAUCCCGGGGCUCAACCCCGGACCUGCCUCCAAAACUAUCAGUCUAGAGUUCGAGAGAGGUGAGUGGAAUUCCGAGUGUAGAGGUGAAAUUCGUAAAUAUUCGGAGGAACACCAGUGGCAAAGGCGGCUCACUGGCUCGAUACUGACGCUGAGGUGCGAAAGUGUGGGGAGCAAACAGGAUUAGAUACCCUGGUAGUCCACACCGUAAACGAUGAA
rnacentral:rRNA from 1 species